rnacentral:rRNA from 1 species
UACAGAGGGUGCGAGCGUUAAUCGGAAUUACUGGGCGUAAAGCGCACGUAGUCGGCUUUGCAAGUCGGGUGUGAGAUCCCCGGGCUCAACCUGGGAACUGCAUCCGAGACUGCAUUGCUAGAGUAUGGGAGAGGGAAGCGGAAUUUCUGGUGUAGCAGUGAAAUGCGUAGAUAUCAGAAGGAACAUCAGUGGCGAAGGCGGCUUCCUGGACCAAUACUGACGAUCAGGUGCGAAAGCGUGGGGAGCAAACAGG